AUACUUACAUAAUUCUACUUUUCCUCCCUUAUUAGCCCAAAGUAACAUGGUACAAAAACAAAAUGGACAUCUCAAAUGAAGCCAAGUACAGGAUGAUCAGUAAGCAAGGUGUCCUGACGCUGGAGAUCCGUAAGCCCUGUCCAUUUGAUGGGGGGGUGUAUACGUGCAAAGCAGUCAACGACAGCGGUGAAGACACAGUGGAGUGUAAACUGGAGGUUCGCCCUCAAAUUACUAGAGAAGAUAAGAAGGAGCCCAAGAAGGAAAAAAUUCAAGAAGCCAACUGAAGAGAAGAUGGCAUCUCAGAGUUCAGCUCCACAUCCUUUUUAUGUUUAUGUGCUGCUUUCCUCUCCUGCAGUCAUCUCACAUCAUGUUAUCCUCACUGUUAUAUUAGUGUCAUGUAAACCACUGGAUGACAGAAGUGAAUGGGGCUCACUGAAUUUGCUGUUCCUUUAUUUUCAUUUUGCUAUAAGUAUUUAAUAUUAAUUAUCCCAAACAAUGAUCUUUAUUUCAGUCCAGUUCUUGGUAUUGAUAACAGAGAUAACAGUGUUUAGUAAAUAGUAUCAAUAUUUAGGAAACUACUUUCUGAUUUGCUGCUUGUCUGGGCUGAUUUGUGUGCAUAAAAAUUACUUGAAAACAGAA